rnacentral:rRNA from 1 species
AAAUUGAAGAGUUUGAUCAUGGCUCAGAUUGAACGCUGGCGGCAGGCCUAACACAUGCAAGUCGAGCGGAAACGAGUUAUCUGAACCUUCGGGGAACGAUAACGGCGUCGAGCGGCGGACGGGUGAGUAAUGCCUAGGAAAUUGCCCUGAUGUGGGGGAUAACCAUUGGAAACGAUGGCUAAUACCGCAUGAUGCCUACGGGCCAAAGAGGGGGACCUUCGGGCCUCUCGCGUCAGGAUAUGCCUAGGUGGGAUUAGCUAGUUGGUGAGGUAAGGGCUCACCAAGGCGACGAUCCCUAGCUGGUCUGAGAGGAUGAUCAGCCACACUGGA